rnacentral:tRNA from 1 species
GCCUUGAUAGCUCAGUUGGUAGAGCAGUGGUCUCAAAAUCCACUGACCCGGGUUCAAAACCAAGUCGAUGCG